rnacentral:lncRNA from 1 species
AUAGCUUCACGGCCUUCACCCGUUAUUUAUCUCGAGAUAUUGUGUAUGUAAAAUAAAACUUUUAAAUGGCACAAACGAUUUUAUGAACUGAAGUUCUAAUAAUAGAGGGUGGACAAACGAAAAUAAAAGAAGAGAUGACUUAACAGUCAACACAAAUUAUAUGAAAACGAAAAUUCAAGUUCUAAAAUAUAGUUGUCUCAUCUUAACUCUUGUCCUGGAUGUUGAAUACGAGUUUGGAUGAUCGACUGAAAGUAAAAUGAACUCGUUUUUGUGGGUCUUACAAAGACGUUCUAUUGAUCGGUAUGUGAUAACAAGCGUGAUUACAAGGAGAUUAUGGAAAAGAAAGAAGGUCGGAGCUUUGCUAAAAGCACCGGCGAGGAUACAAAGAGGCUCGAUCGGUUGUCUAACCCUAAAUCGUGUCGUCAGUGUUUUAGUCUCUCUCUUCGGAUCCCUUUUCUCUUCCCAUAUGUCUUCCUUUUAUAGGCUCUACUUGUCUAACACUCGUUCGCCCUAAUAAUUCAGGCCCAAACUAAUGUUUGAUGGGCUUUCCAGUUGGUCGAUGGCUUGAUGGGCUUUUCAGCCAAGCUAUGGCUCGAUGGGCUGAUACUGACCCAGUCGGCCAAUUGACUGUAGGACCGGGUCGAUCAAUUGAGCUCUAGAACCAAAUGAUAGUCCUACCAAGUUCGAUCCCAGCUAGACUCUCGGUGACAAUGAUCUGAAUCCUGUUAACUGAUGGGUCUUGUGGGAGAAUGCUAAAUUCAUCUCCAACACUGGAGUCGUGCCGAGGCUGGUUAGGCGGAGAUGCUGGAAGGUGUCGGCUUUUAAGGCUUUGUGGUUGGAUUGAUUUUGCUUCGCAUGUGAUUUUACCUUGAUAGCAACAAAGGGCAAGGAAUGAUGCUCUUCCCAGAUCUGGUGUUGUGUCGUAUGGAUUAUAUUGUCUGCUCCUUUGCUUGUCGGUGGCAGUUUAGAUCCACGGGUUCUCCUCUGAGAAGAGAGGCAGAGGUUAGUAGACCCAGCCCGUCUAUGGGGUGCCUCAGAACGGAGGUCUUCUCAAGCUUCGUCAGUGAAAGGUACAACGAGUUUCAGAAACUUGAUGUCGUAUUUGAUGGCUUCUUCGUUAGAGGCUCCUCGCCCUUCCUUUCAUGUUCUUCUCUUUGU